rnacentral:tRNA from 1 species
GGGGUUGUAGCUCAGUGGUAGAUCACUCGCCUACCAUGUGUGAGGCAAUGGGUUCAAUUCUCAGCACCA